GCUGUGUGUUGCUGGGACUUGAAAGGAGCUGAUCCUCCAGUGGCAGACAGAAUGAUGCUGCCCACUCCCUGUUACUCAACCACAGCUACUAACAGGCGUGUCCCCCAGCUGAUCUGCUGCCAUAGAGAGUUCCAGAACACUCCAGAGGAGGACGACGAAACCUCUACCCCCUGCUCUGACCUCCGCCCCGACCUCCACCCCGACGACCCCAGCUCCAUGGCUGGCUCCGCCCUCAGCAGUCGGAGGGCGGGGCCCAGCUACACGCCAUAUCAGCCUCCUGUAGGCCUCCCAGUCGGGUACAGCCAGCCUACCCCGUUCCCCAGCCAGGCUGAUGGCUCCUGGCUUCAACCCAGCUACACCAGUGCCUGGUCUGGUCCUGGACCUGCUUACCCCAGCAGCCUGCCCUCCUGCCUCACCCCUCCGAACUACCCCAGCUACCCAGGGGAGAGCUGCUACUCCCGGGGAAGGUCCCGGUCCCUCACCCCCCUGCCGGGCCGUGACAGCCCUAGUAUGACCAGCCUGGAGCAGCCACACUCCCUUCACUCCAUCCCCCUCUCAGCAGGCUCCUACCACCACUCUCUGACUCCAUACACCUGCUGUGCCCAGUGCCCUGUGGAGGGCUUCAACAUGGGCCCCUACCACAGCCCUCGGCCCAUCGCUGGUUACCGCCUACCCUCCAGGCCCAUGUAUAACUACAGACUGCCAGGUGCAGGCGACGUGCAAAGGUAA
rnacentral:lncRNA from 1 species